rnacentral:sRNA from 1 species
GCUGGGCACUGUGGUGCCUGCCUGUAAUCCCAGCGGCUUGGGAGGCUGAGGCAGGAGGAUCGUUCAAAACCAGCCUCAGCAAAAGCGAGGCGCUAAGCAACUCAGUGAGACCCUGUCUCUA